rnacentral:lncRNA from 1 species
CUUUAUUAGAGAGAUGUCUGUAUUAGAGAGAUGUCUGUAUUAGAGAGAUGUCUUUAUUAGAGAGGUGUCUUUAUUAGAGAGUGUUUGUAUUAAAGAGGGGUCCAUAUUAGAGAGGUGUCUUUAUUAGAGAGUGUUUGUAUUAGAGAGGGGUCCAUAUUAGAGAGGUGUCUUUAUUAGAGAGUGUUUGUAUUAGAGAGGGGUCCAUAUUAGAGAGGUGUCUUUAUUAGAGAGUGUUUGUAUGAGAGAGGGGUCCAUAUUAGAGAGAUGUCUGUAUUAGAGAGUGUUUGUAUUAGAUAGGGGUCCAUAUUAGAGAGGUGUCUUUAUUAGAGAGUGUUUGUAUUAGAGAGGGG